rnacentral:rRNA from 1 species
GAUGAACGCUGGCGGCGUGCUUAACACAUGCAAGUCGAACGGAAAGGCUCCUGCUUGCAGGGGUACUCGAGUGGCGAACGGGUGAGUAACACGUGGGUGAUCUGCCCUGCACUUCGGGAUAAGCCUGGGAAACUGGGUCUAAUACCGGAUAGGACGAUGGUUUGGAUGCCAUUGCGGAAAGUUUUUCGGUGUGGGAUGAGCUCGCGGCCUAUCAGCUUGUUGGUGGGGUAAUGGCCUACCAAGGCGUCGACGGGUAGCCGGCCUGAGAGGGUGUACGGCCACAUUGGGACUGAGAUACGGCCCAGACUCCUACGGGAGGCAGCAGUGGGGAAUAUUGCACAAUGGGCGCAAGCCUGAUGCAGCGACGCCGCGUGGGGGAUGACGGCCUUCGGGUUGUAAACUCCUUUCGCUAGGGACGAAGCGUUUUGUGACGGUACCUGGAGAAGAAGCACCGGCUAACUACGUG